rnacentral:rRNA from 1 species
CCUACGGGUGGCAGCAGUAGGGAAUAUUGCUCAAUGGGGGAAACCCUGAAGCAGCAACGCCGCGUGGAGGAUGAAGGCUUUCGGAGUGUAAAACCCUUUUGUUAGGGAAGAAAAUGACGGUAUCUAACGAAUAAGCACCGGCUAACUCCGUGCCAGCAGCCGCGGUAAUACGGAGGGUGCAAGCGUUAUUCGGAAUUACUGGGCGUAAAGAGCGCGUAGGCGGGAUAGCAAGUCAGAUGUGAAAUCCUCGGGCUUAACCCUAGAACUGCAGUUGAAACUGUUGCUCUAGAGUAUGGGAGAGGUAGGUGGAAUUCUUGGUGUAGCGGUGAAAUGCGUAGAGAUCAAGAGGAACACUCAUUGCGAAGGCGGCCUGCUGGAGCAUAACUGACGCUGAUGCGCGAAAGCGUGGGGAGCGAACAGGAUUAGAUACCCUAGUAGUC